AUCAUACUUUAAGUUUUAGGGUACAUGUGCACAACAUGCAGGUUUGUUACAUAUGUAUACAUGUGCCAUGCUGGUGUGCUGCACCCAUUAACUCGUCAUUUAGCAUUAGGUAUAUCUCCUGAUGCUAUCCCUCCCCCCUCCCCCAACCCCACAACAGUCCCCAGUGUGUGAUGUUCCCCUUCCUGUGUCCAUGUGUUCUCAUUGUUCAAUUCCCACCUGUGAGUGAGAACAUGCGGUGUUUGGUUUUUUGUCCUUGCGAUAGUUUGCUGAGAAUGAUGGUUUCCUAUUGGAUGGCUUCCUAUGGAUGGUUUCCUAUUUGAUGGUUUCCUAUGGAUGGCUUCAUCCAUGUCCCUACAAAGAACAUGAACUCAUCAUUUUUUAUGGUUGCAUAGUAUUCCAUGGUGUAUAUGUGCCACAUUUUCUUAAUCCAGUCUAUCAUUGUUGGACAUUUGGGUUAGUUCCAAGUCUUUGCUACUGUGAAUAGUGCCACAAUAAACAUACAUGUGCAUGUGUCUUUAUGUAUUUACAGAGCACCUUGGGAGUGUUUUGCUUAUGUGAAUUCUAAGGGAGUAUUAGACGAUAUGUGAGGAAGACUUUAAACUCUUAGGAAGAAUGUAACUAUGCAAAUCAGAGUGUUGGCAUUAUUAAUGACAACAAUAGUUUUAUUAUACGUCAAGCACUUUGCCCUUCAAAAGAAAAAGGUUCUGCGAGUACAAAGAAGCAUAGUAGCAGCAAAAGUGGGUUCCCAGUGGAGGGCACUGCCAUUUCCCAGUGACCAGCGCACACCUUCUUUAUCUGGGGCAACAUGGAGGAUUGGUUGCCAUUUGAGUUAUUGUUUAAUUACAAGGCCAGAAACCCUCCCUUUUCCUCUCUCUCUUUCUUUUCUCUCCUUUGCUCCCACCACCUGUGCCCAACUGAAGACAGAGGCUCCCAAUUCAAGGGGGAACAGGCCCUUGUAUAAGCCCAGGCGAGCCAGCGGAAGCUUUCUGGCACUUAUUUGCUUUCUCAGCUUUAAAAACUCUGUCAUCUGAGACAGACCAAGUAAUUGCUAUGAAAUAAUCUGGGAAGUCACAUCUAGAGAUGAAGGGUAAAUGUAAGUUGCAGGCACUCACAUUCUCUUGCUGCUCUAGGGUAUAAUGGUCCAAUUUUGACCAGUGGAGAAGGCAACACCUUAAGGAGCAGCAUGGUACAGGGAGGAAAGCUCUGGGCUGGGAGUCAGAACAUUUGGACUGUGCUCCUCAGCAGAUGGGUUACUGUAGGCAAGUCACUCCAUCUCUCUGGUCUUAGUAUGUUUAUUGUCCCUCGACUGUUCCAGAUCAAAUAAUGAGAUUUCAUACAGCAUUUAUAGAUACAUGCUUUGAAAACAAUACUGCCCAACCUGUUAUUUAUUUAUUUAUUUAUUUUUUAAAAGAAUGUCCAGAAAAGGGAAAUCAGAGGCUGAUCCUCUGCUGGUG
rnacentral:lncRNA from 1 species